rnacentral:lncRNA from 1 species
AUUCAAGGCUCAGUGACCUCAGCCCCUGUUCCUCCAGUGCAAGCUGGGAGUGAUACUAUCUGCUCUGCCUAGCUUUUGUGCUAUUGAUAGGCUCAAGCCAGAUGAAGGAUGAUCAUGUUUUGGGGAGGGUUAUUUCAGUUCAUGAGAAACUUUCUAAUCUUGCACAAAUAGCUGAACUAUCAUUGCCAGCAACUCCUGAAAAUACUGCAAAUGAGGAUAUAUAUAAAGUGGAUGAAACAGAAGAGAAACCAAUUGGUAAAGAUAUAGAAAACAUGAUUCUUGAAUGCUGCUCUGAAAUAUUAGCUCUGUUUUUGAGUGACAGAGAGCCAACACCAUUAACUGAGGUACCAUUUGAUAUCUCGCUGCCUUCUAUAUUCAAUCUUGAGAGACUUUUCGAUCUUGCUAAUGGCUGUAUUAUAUCAGGAGGAAGCCUUUUCAACUGGAUAGUGUCGAUUAUUUCAUGACCUUCCUUUCCAGGGGAUGAAUAAAACUGAGAAAUCAAUCAAAAGUGUGACAUCAGAUUGAAGAAUUUUUAAACAGUAUCUAUGAGCCUUUGGAAAUGUGGUGAGAAGAAAUGAUUAUGAUUCAAUAUACUGCUUCCACAGAAAGUUCCCAUUCAGACUUGGAUCUUACCCCAUCUGAUUACUUAUGAUGUAUGCAGAUACUCCAGAUAUUGUUUUGAGUUUUUGCUAUUAUUUACACUUUUGUAAGUUUCUUUAGUUUGCUUUUAUUUUGUCCAACUAAUCAAUUUUCUUAGUGUAUUGCUUCAACUUCCUGAUUCUCUCCUGUGUUUUGAAAAGAAUAAACAUUUGACUAAAUUAAAACUACAUUCUGA